rnacentral:rRNA from 1 species
AGCGAACGUUGGCGGCAGGCCUCAAACAUGCAAGUCUAGGGGGUGUAGCAAUACAUCACCGGCGGACGGGUGCGUAACGCGUGGGAAUAUACCUAUUGGUUCGGAACAACUGAGGGAAACUUCAGCUAAUACCGAAUGUGCCCGUAAGGGGAAAGAUUUAUCGCCAAUGGAUUAGCCCGCGUAGGAUUAGCUAGUUGGUGGGGUAAUGGCUCACCAAGGCUCCGAUCCUUAGCUGUUCUGAGAGGAAGAUCAGCCACACUGGGACUGAGACACGGCCCAGACUCCUACGGGAGGCAGCAGUUGGGAAUCUUGGACAAUGGGGGAAACCCUGAUCCAGCCAUGCCGCGUGAGUGAUGAAGGCCUUCGGGUUGUAAACUCUUUCGACGGGGACGAUAAUGACGGUACCCGUAGAAGAAGCUCCGGCUAACUUCGUGCCAGC